AAUUAAUUUCCAAUUUUUCCUUUUCCCAUAUUCCCUCAUUCCCGUGCCCUACAUCUCAUCGCAGCCUCCAUUGCUAGCGCCACCACUUCCUCACCGUCGGCACCCGACCACCAGCCUUCUUCUGUUUCCUCACGUCUUCUCCACGAGCUUCUCCACCACAUCUACUGUCGCUGGUGCCAUAGUAGCUUUGCUGCCUCGCCUUGUGUUUGGGGUGACUCUGCCCUAGAUCGCCGACCGUGCCCCUUCACGCCGCCACCUGACGUCGGUUUUCCCCUUCUCCUCUCCAUGCUACCGCCGACAACCACGACCUAAAGCUCGAAUCGCCGCACCCUGAUGUCGGUUCCCGAGUGCCGCCUCACGGAGCAGUGCCAUCGUCGAUCUACACGGCCGCCCCUUCCUCCUUCAAUCGGCUAAGUCAGUGCCCUAGCUUCAUCACCGCUCUUCGCCGGAUCCUGGAUUGGGUCCACACCUAGUCGUGCCUUUCAUCACUGAUCUCCUUCAUCUCGAGCCCUAGCUCCCGAUUGUUGCUGCUUCAUCGAUCAGUCACAGCCAGCGCUUGAAUGCAUCUGAUUGGAUUCAAAGGUUGAAGAGGUGGAUAACAAUCGAGGCAUUGCUAACUCUGUGAAUCAGGGAGCAUUUCAGCGGCUGUUUCUUCCUUUGCACAGUUGGUAGCAGCUUCGAGUUCCUUUCAUAGGAUUCCUCUGUUCUGUCUUUAGCCAUCGCAGCCACCUUCAAAUUGGGAGCUUUUGAUCUGCAGUGGUUGUCCUCAUGCAGGAGUUAUUAAGGAUUCGCGUUGGAUGUGAUCUUCUGGAUUUGUUGAAGACGGUUGACACGAUCUACAGUUAAAGGCGGG